AUUGAACGCUGGCGGCAGGCCUAACACAUGCAAGUCGAACGAGUGGCGGACGGGUGCGUAAUGUCUUGGAAACUGCCUUAUGGACGGGGAUAACUACUGGAAACGGUAGCUCAUACCGCAUACCAUCGGAUGUGCCCUGGUGGGAUUAGCUAGUAGGGUGGGUAAAGGCUCACCUAGGCGACGCUCCCUAGCUGGUCUGAGAGGUUGAUCAGCAACACUGGAACUGAGACACGGUCCAGACUCCUACGGGAGGCAGCAGUGGGGAAUAUUGGACAAUGGGCGAAAGCCUGAUCCAGCCAUGCCGCGUGUGUGAAGAAGGUCUUCGGAUUGUAAAGCACGUUAAGUUGGGAGGCGUUACCAACAGAAUAAGCACCGGCUAACUUCGUGCCAGCAGCCGCGGUAAUAC
rnacentral:rRNA from 1 species